UCUGUCCCUACAGGCAUUGCAGGCGUGGCUGCUGUGUCACAUGUUCGCCAGUAGGUGGCAGAGAGGAGCGAGGCUACCUAUGUCUAGGCUCUGUGUUUUGACCUUUGAACAUCUGAAUGAUUAGUAGCCUAACAUU